rnacentral:lncRNA from 1 species
UAUCAAAAUAUAACAAGUUACAGUUUUGACAAGAUAUCAAAAUAUAAUGUCAUCCAUCCAUAAUUUUAUUUUAGCUUAUAAGUUACCGCUCGUCUCUUCUCCUUCGUUAUCGGACAGACUUCGCUAAGGACCUUGACCUCUACGUGAAUUCGAAGGUAAUGCGGCGAUUCGUGACAUAACCGGGGAACUGAACGACUCGCCUUGUCCCUGGAUUAGAACUAGAAGAAUAAAGAGAAGAACCCAAAAUAGAAUAAGAGCAACAUUUGAAGUCAUUGAAACCAUUUUCAAAUUGUCUUCAUAACAUGCAUCAGCCAGUG